rnacentral:misc_RNA from 1 species
GAAAUGCGAUAAGUAAUGUGAAUUGCAGAAUUCCGUGAAUCAUCGAAUCUUUGAACGCACAUUGCGCCCUCUGGUAUUCCGGGGGGCAUGCCUGUCCGAGCGUCAUUGCGAACCCCUCAAGCACGGCUUGUGUGAUGGGCCCUCCCGCGUCUUGGUCGUCAAGACGGGCCCGAAAUGCAGUGGCGGCUUCGCGGUUAUCCGAUCAGCCAGAGCGUAUGGGGACUUUCUCUCUGUCACACGCCCGCGGCGCGGACCGACGCCUGUCGACCUUCAUUCAUCGUUUUCUCGGUUGACCUCGGAUCGGGUAGGGAUACCCGCUGAACUUAAGC